AGCUAUACAUGCAGUCGAGCGGACAGAAGGGAGCUUGCUCCCGGAUGUUAGCGGCGGACGGGUGAGUAACACGUGGGUAACCUGCCUGUAAGACUGGGAUAACUCCGGGAAACCGGAGCUAAUACCGGAUAGUUCCUUGAACCGCAUGGUUCAAGGAUGAAAGACGGUUUCGGCUGUCACUUACAGAUGGACCCGCGGCGCAUUAGCUAGUUGGUGAGGUAACGGCUCACCAAGGCGACGAUGCGUAGCCGACCUGAGAGGGUGAUCGGCCACACUGGGACUGAGACACGGCCCAGACUCCUACGGGAGGCAGCAGUAGGGAAUCUUCCGCAAUGGACGAAAGUCUGACGGAGCAACGCCGCGUGAGUGAUGAAGGUUUUCGGAUCGUAAAGCUCUGUUGUUAGGGAAGAACAAGUGCAAGAGUAACUGCUUGCACCUUGACGGUACCUAACCAGAAAGCCACGGCUAACUACGUGCCAGCAGCCGCGGUAAUACGUAGGUGGCAAGCGUUGUCCGGAAUUAUUGGGCGUAAAGGGCUCGCAGGCGGUUUCUUAAGUCUGAUGUGAAAGCCCCCGGCUCAACCGGGGAGGGUCAUUGGAAACUGGGAAACUUGAGUGCAGAAGAGGAGAGUGGAAUUCCACGUGUAGCGGUGAAAUGCGUAGAGAU
rnacentral:rRNA from 1 species